CUUUAGUGGUAUCUUAAUCGGUCUGCAAAGGAGCUUUAUACAUAUAAUGCCGUAACGUUUUGGACAUGAUGAAAGAGUUCAUUUCAGUAUUGUUGAGAAGCGGUAAUGAAAUUGCUUUGAAGGAGUUGGAUAAUUGCGAUGCUAUAUCAAAGUCCCAUUCUUUCUGGUGGUUCAAAUUAGGAGUGGUUGGAUGCUGCAAACGCUCUCCAGAAGCAAAUGUGGGAGGAUGCACCACUAGAUAAGAGGCGGAUGAAAGAAGAGUACUUAAUAAGGACUCAAAGUUUGUCUUUUAUGAGAACCAAGACUGAGCUAAAUAUAAUAAGUUCUGCAGUGGAUGGCAGUCGCAAUCCAUUUGGCGAUAGCAAAAACAAUGAGUAGCAGGUUAAUUAUUUUUUAUGUU